GUUUGUGCGAAUUCUUAUCACUGAAGAUAAGGAAUCUCGUAUAGUUUAAAACUCGAUAAAAGAGGAAAGAUGGAUUGGAAGGUCGCUCGCUCACAUCAACAGGAGGAAACAAGAUCAACGACAUUGUGUAUUAUACAUAUGCCAGCCAAGUUGAUACAUCUCAAAAGAAUUAUGGACGUCAGAAUAGAAGGUAGCCAAUAGGAAAACCACACAGCUGGAAACAGAAUAGAAGGUAGCCAAUAGGAAAACCACACAGCUGGAAACUUCAGCUAUGGAUUCACUAAGGAAAGACUGUUCAAAUCACACCCUUCAGUAUAUAGCUGGAAUACCACAUACAUCUUGGGCCACUCCAUCUUUAAAGAACGGUCUAGAAGUGGCAGUUCCUGGUGAUUACAAGUUUCAAGUUGUAACGCAGCCAUUGUGUUCAACACCUUAAGAUGAUUUACUGUAGUGUAUCUGAGAAAAUAUUCCCCAUUGAUUUUGUUCAGUACUGUGCUAGUUAUACAGAAAUUAAUUCAUUUCAUAUUUGUAUACUUCCACUGACUUUUAUGAAAUUUUGGAGCAUUAUUUUAUAUUAGAUAAGAAAUUUGAGAAACUAGUUGUAGAAAGCCAUCCUACUUCAUAAGAUAAACUGUAUAUCUGAAAUGUUCAUAGUUUCUACCAUUAUAUUUUCAAAGUUCCUCAAAGCACAUAGUGGAUGAUGGCCCAUCUAGUGCAUAGAGGUCUGAAAUAAUUGACUAAAAUAGAAAGAUAUAUUUUUUUUAUACAAAACUAUAUACAAAAGAUAUUUCCCUACUAAGAUCAUUCAGGAAAGCCAUACUUAUUUUUGGUAAACUAGUAUAUGUCAUCAGUAACUUGGCCCAUUGUGGAAGAUGCCAUAUGGUCACAUAGCUUUUACUAUUUCUAUAAAUCUGAAUAUUUACAGAGUAAUUCCUGUGUGUAACUGAAUCUCGUGUGAAUCAAAGCAACAAGGCAUGUGGGACUUGAUCAGCCAGUUCAGAUUUAUGCCUUUGAAGAUGCAGGUUUUGCAGCAGCUGAAUAAUUCCUGUGCGAGACUGAAUCUUGUGUGAAUCGAAGCAGCAAGACAUGUGAAACCAGAUCAACAAAUUAAGAUAUAUGCCAUUGAAGAUACAAGUUUUGCAGUAGCUGAAAUGAUGACAGGGCCUUCCAUACUGCACAUAACAGGGUAUACUUUCCAAAGGUGGCAAGAAGUAAGGGAUGAUAUUUCCGGGUCAUCUAAGAAGAAGAAACAGAGGAUUAUGAAAGGAAAAAAGUGGAAAAAGAAGAAGCAGAAAUAGCAGACAAUUAAAAGUUGCUCAUCUCUUUAUUUAAUAGCAGUCAGUUGAUAUAUGAUUAUAUGUGUUAUUUAUACAUGAUGGAAUCUAGAAACAGUUUUUGUAAAGUCAGAUGUUUUUCUCAUGCAAAGCAUAGAUAUUUUGUCAUGAAUAGCUUUGAGGUCUGGAAAUUGAGUAUAAUUUUUAUUGAUUAUAUUUCUGAGCGUCUCAUUUAACCUAAAAAUUUAUACAUUUUUAAAAGAGUUUUACUGUUUUACAAUACUUUUUUUGCAUUAUUUAAGAAUUAUAUUUAGUACAUUUUGUGCAACUGCAGGUGUUGUUUUUAUUUUGCAGCAUACACAAUGUUGAAUUUGUAUUGAUCUUACAUUUGUGUUUGGCACAUGCAUUGUUGCAUCAUGAAGUUGCAUUCCUGAAUUCACCAUUUCAACUUAAAUGCUGAGUAGCCAAGCAAUUUGCUUUGUUCUAUAUUAAUUUUGAUUUAUAUUUUUUGAAGUAAUAUUUAUUACUUAAUUUCCAGGAAAUGAUUAAACAUUCUUAUUCGCAAUUUCUGAAUUAUUUUGCAUGAAUAAAUGAAG